UUUAAGAAUAAUAGUUACAAUCUUGAAAAAAUAAAUGACAUUCAUAAAGAAUAAGGAAUUACAUAUUAUUAGAUAACUAAAAUUCUUGUAGAAUAACACUUUUGAAAAAAAAUACAUUCUUAAGAGUAAUACAUGAAAGAAAUAAAAUAAAAAUGCUUAAAGAAUAACAUAACAUUGUUAAUACAAACAUGCAUAUGUUGUAUUGUUCUUGAAGUGUGAGACAUAAAGUGAAGUUUUGGAUCAUUUAGUUGGUACAAAUUCAUAACUUGUUGGUAGAAGUUAUCUUUGUUCAUAACUUGUUAGCAGAAAGUAUCUUUGUUCCAUUCCUGCAAAAGAAAUAUCGCAUAUUGAAUUGUUGUAACGCAUCAUAAAGAAUUCAUGCUGGCAAAGUAAUAAGCAUAAGUAAUAAGAUUUUCAAACAAAUGUGUUCCAUUGAUUCAUAUGUAACAAUGAAGUAAACAUAUGACAGUUUUUUUUUUUUUUUUUUUUUUGAAUAGAAAGUUUGGAGGAAUUUUUUGAUGAAUUUUUUGAGAGCUUUUAUUGAAUUGGAAGGUAUCUUAUUCUACGCUUUAUUAGAAAAGUCAUUCUCAUUCCAUCGACACUUUAAAUACCCUUAUCAUGACCAAGGAACACAAUAACCAAGUCAAAAGCAAGUAUCAACAACCUCAGAUUUAGUAGAUGCAAAAGUUUAGAUUCGCUCCCCAAUUAAGUAGACAUGGGCCUUCAAUUAUGUAUUUGACUAUCCUCUGUAUCAUAACACCAUGCCUCCUCAUUAAACAACAAAAAGUUGAGCCCUAAAUCAAAUUAAAUGACAAAAACGUUAAAUCCAUAAUUGAAUUAAACCCCAAAAUUUGUUAAACAACAAAAACAUUAAACCGUAAAUGGAAUUAAACCUAACUCGAAUUGCACCUAGAAGAGAACCAAAAUACUUGCUUCACAAUAAAAAUGCAUAACAAAAUUCGAGAAAAUUAGUUGGACAAGGGCUUUUCGAGAGAUACAAACUUUGGAGGUGAGAUCAUAAAAAAUCGAUGACCUUUUAAGUUGAGGGAAACUCUCAUAAACAAGAACGACCAUUAAUCGAGAUUAUAUGGAUGUAUAAAGUAUUUUUUUUUACCAUUGAAGGAAUCUCCACCUUUCUCGUCGUCUUCGGUCUGCCCGCCUACAGAAGAUGUGUAGCUCGAAAUAUAAACUUAACGCCAACAAUUACUGAUUUGUGGAAAAAAGAAGAGGGAUGAAAGUAGGAGUCUUCAAUCUGGAUUCUGGACAAGAGUGACAAGCAAAGCAAGAUACAAAAAGGUUGUGAAUACGACAGAGAUUAAGGGUAGAGAUAAAGAGCAAGAAGCGUACAUGACGUUUCAUUCCAUGAAUAAAGACUUAUUAGUUUGAGUAAUUAAUU
rnacentral:lncRNA from 1 species